rnacentral:rRNA from 1 species
AUUGAACGCGGGCGGCAGGCCUAACACAUGCAAGUCGAACGAGUGGCGGACGAGGGAGUAAUGUCUGGGAAACUGACUGAUGGAGGGGGAUAACUACUGGAACCGGUAGCUAAUACCACCUCCCAUCAGAUGUGCCCAGUUGGAAUUGGCUAGUAGGUGGGGUAAAGGCUCCCCUAGGCGACGAGCCCUAGCUGGUCUGAGAGGAUGACCAGACAACCUGGAACUGAGACACGGUCCAGACUCCUACGGGAGGCAGCAGUGGGUAAUAUUGCACAAUGGGCGCAAGCCUGAUGAAGCCAUGCCGCGUGUAUGAAGAAGGCCUUCGGGUUGUAAAGUACUUUCAGCGGGGAGGCGUUACCCGCAGAAGAAGCACCGGCGAACUCCGUGCCAGCAGCCGCGGUAAUAC